AUCCAUGGCUCAAUGGUAGAACAUCUGCUUGGUAUGCAGAAGGCCUCACGUUCUAUCCCUGGCAUCUGUA
rnacentral:tRNA from 1 species